rnacentral:misc_RNA from 1 species
AUGAAGAGCUCCGGCCGCUGUGUCCGCUUCGCACGCACGCCACUCACAACCUGCAGACCGCGGAUGAAGCGCCUAAUCAAGAGCCUGCAGCAUUUCUCGGUGACCUCGUCGGAGCACGUGGAGUCGUUCAGCAAGAUGACGCUGAGGGACUUUGGUUUCUAUGUCAGCGACGCAGACGCAAUGAGAUACGUGGCAGACGAGGCCUACCCCAUUGCAGAGCGAGCCUUUCAGCUUGAGAACGCACUGCACCAGUGCAGGCUCAGCGCCAGCACAGCGCAGGUCUCCCCCAUGGCGUGGAAGUCGUCAAGUAGCGACACGCUCGGUUGCUCGACGCUCUACCAGGACGAGGCGGUCACGCUGUGCUGGUUUGUGCUUCCACCUGGCAAAGCACUCCCGCUCCACGAUCACCCGGGGAUGACGGUGUGGCAGCGCGCCAUGCACGGCCGACUGCAUCUCUGCUCCAUCACUCGAGAAGCUGACUCACAAACUGGCACCGGUGCAUCGACGGCGCCGAUCAACGGCACUGUGGUCUUCGACGGGGAGCUGGACGGGGCCGGGGAUGCAAUUCCGGCGUCGGACGUGCUGGGAUUCACGCCCGCAGACGGCGACGGCGGCGGCAUGCUGCAUGAGAUUCGCAACAUCGACGCGACGCAGCCCGCCUUGUUUGUGGACAUCAUUUCACCCCCAUACAACCAAGCACCGUCCAACAUUGUAUGCGGCUACUACACCGCCGAGCCCCUCGAUGCCACCGCCACGCUGCUGCCCGCUCUCGCGGCGGACUGUGGUGUGCGCCAUCAACUGAAGGCGGGCGACAAGGUGCGCCUGCACCCCCGCAUCAACUACAGCGGCCCUGCCAUGAACGCAUUUCUGCACGUGGUGUGAGGCAGAGGUUGGGGAAAGAAGGGGAACAAUGUAGCACGAGGCAACACGCGGCGGCGAUGGAGAGGUGGUGAGGGGCUGUAGGUAUACACUCGUAUGCUUGCAGCAUCAGCAGCAGCGGCGGCGAUGCCAUUGCGAAGAGACUCCGCACGUGUGGUCUUGACACUCGGCUCCACCCGCCCUCUCAGCCGGCACUCCUCCAUCCCCAUCUGUAUCUGCCGUGUAUCGGGCACGUCACUAUCACAUCUACAACGAACGCGCGUCCGCUC